rnacentral:misc_RNA from 1 species
GAUGAAGAACGUAGCGAAAUGCGAUAAGUAAUGUGAAUUGCAGAAUUCAGUGAAUCAUCGAAUCUUUGAACGCACAUUGCGCCCGUCAGUAUUCUGGCGGGCAUGCCUGUUCGAGCGUCAUUACGCCCCUCAAGUCCCCUGUGGACUUGGUGUUGGGGAUCGGCGAGGCUGGUUUUCCAGCACAGCCGUCCCUUAACUUAAUUGGCGGUCUCGCCGUGGCCCUCCUCUGCGCAGUAGUAAAACACUCGCAACAGGAGCCCGGCGCGGUCCACUGCCGUAAAACCCCCCAACUUUUUAUAGUUGACCUCGAAUCAGGUAGGACUACCCGCUGAACUUAAGCAUAUCAAUAAGCGGAGGA